UACGAAGGGGGCUAGCGUUGCUCGGAAUCACUGGGCGUAAAGGGUGCGUAGGCGGGUCUUUUAAGUCAGGGGUGAAAUCCUGGAGCUCAACUCCAGAACUGCCUUUGAUACUGAAGAUCUUGAGUCCGGGAGAGGUGAGUGGAACUGCGAGUGUAGAGGUGAAAUUCGUAGAUAUUCGCAAGAACACCAGUCGGCGAAGGCGGACUCACUGGCC
rnacentral:rRNA from 1 species